GGACGUUUAGCUCAGUUGGUUAGAGCACUUCUCUUACAAAGAAGGGGUCGCUGGUUCGAGUCCAGCAACGUCCA
rnacentral:tRNA from 1 species